UCGAAAAAGUAUUUGUUGAAGAAGGUUUUUCGUUUUCUUCUUCGGGGAUUUGGACGUUAACUUCGUCGCAACCGUUUUCGACCCCAACAAUAGUUAGUGUUCAUGGGAAAAAGAAAGCAGAGAUGGUGAAACAGAUUCAUGCUGAAGCUAGAAGGAACUUGGAGGAAAAGGCUAAGCAGUAUGCUAGACAAGCAAACAAGGGCAGGCGUGAGAUGGUCUUUGACGUGGGUGAUCAAGUCUGGGUGCAUUUGAGGAAGGAGAGAUUUACAAAUGAAAAGAAAUCAAAGAUGAUGCCAAGUAUUGAUGGUCCCUUCGCACUCACACACAAAAUCAGCAACAAUGCUUAUAAACUUGAACUGCAAGGUAAUAUGUUAGUGAUAAUUUCAAUAUUUCUGACUGGGCUCCUUUUGUUGCAGAUGAUCCAAAUUUGAGGACAAAUCCUUUUCAAGAGGGAGGGGAUGAUGUGAUCAUGGGAAUACAACAUGAACCUGUUCAAGAAGAGAUGAACAGUGAAGAUAUCUUAGCCAUUCCAGAAGAAGUUCCAAUGACUCGUGCUAGAUCAAAGAAGCUCAUGGAAGCUGUCACUGGAAUGCUUAAGUAUAUUGAAGAUCAAGAAGAAUGUCUUGGCCAAGUUUCUAAUUAUGAAGCCUUCACCUUUAUGAAGUUCUCUCCAACCAGCUGAUCAAAAAUUUAGCAAAGGCUGUUGUGUGUGCUCUUUUUCCCUAGCUUGGUUUUGACCCACUGAGUUUUCCAAGUUAGGUUUUUAACGAGGCCACAACUGUCCUUACCAUAUGCCAAUUGUUGGUCCAUUUUAGUUAUCUAAGUUCUAUGACAUUUUUAUGUAUUUUUUAUGUUAUGUUUUAUUUUAAAAACUUUUCUUGGGUUGUCUCUAGGCAUGGGGGACAAAGGGGUUAUGUCUUUAUAUUUCCAAGGACAGCUUCUUGCAUUAUAUUGUAACCAGAACCCUCUUUCUAAUCUAUCAAUCAUUUUCUUCAAAAAAAAAACUUGUUCCUUCUUUCUUUAUCUGUCAAGAUCUAGAAGCUUGCUGAUGUUUAAUAUCCAGCUUUGGGUUUUCUGAUUUAGUGUGUAAUAUCUGGAUAAGAAACCUUGGAGUAUCAAGAGAUCAAACCAUCCCUCUUGUGUCCCACUUCAUUCCACAAGCCUUGGAAAUUUUGAGUGUUUGAUUCACUUUUGCAAGGAUUAUCCAUGUUCUAUCAUUCCAGUACCAGAGAUCUAUCCUAGGAUCUUUUUAAAUUUUUAGAAAACCCUUAUAUCUCAAUCCUAUAUAUUGUAAACUCUCUCAUUAAUAAGAGAUUAGACAGUUCAAAACAACUAUACUCUUGAAAAAUUUCACAAUGAUUCUCCAUUAGUCUCUUAAUCACACAACUCUUUCUUAUUCUCUCUUAAUAUCUUCGCUAUUCUCUUCUAAACUCAGAUUUUCCAAUUCAAACACUAAAAGUGUUACCGCGUUUUUAACUUUACGGGCAUUUACAAGGAAUGCAUUACGUCGAAUUUACUAGGACACGUGUAUCACGAGGAAUCUACCAAGGCCGAGUGUUUUAGCCAUUACGACAAAUUUACAAGGAAAAGUGUUUUACAAGAAUCUACCAGACCUGUUUUUUCCAUUACGACGAAUUUACUAGGACUAUAUAUGAAUUCCUGAAAAUCAAAUCCCAAAACCCCAAAGUCACUUAUCUAUAACAUCAUAUCUCUUUUACCCUAUCGUCUCCUAUAUCAUAUUUUCCCUUAAACCCUAAAUUCAAAGGAAUAUGUAUUAUAAUCAAACAACAUACACAUGCAUUAAGUCUUUAACUGAUUUAUAUAUUAAAAAAAUAUUUCAAAUAUACAUUACAUCAUUCUGAAUCAUUCGAAUUUUCAUCAAUAUCAAUAGAAUGAUAAUCACCGCUUGCAUCAAACUCGUCUUCACCUGCUUCAUCAUUCAUAUCGUUGGGAAUAUCUCAUAUUGACGGUUAUUCGGAUCAAUAAGAAGGAUGUCAUCAGUUUGUUGUUCAUGUACCUCGACUUCAGUGAUACCCACUUCUUCUUGAAAUGUGGUUUGGGGGAUGAUAUUUCUCGAUGCCUACAUUCCUAUUUAUAUGAGCAAAAUAGAGAAAAGUGAAAGAGCAGGAGUUGGAGUAAUUAAUGUUAAGUAGUGGGAGGUUGGGUUUGGGUCGUAAAUGGAGAAUGUUAAUCUUAAUUAGAAAGAGGAAUUGAUCACCUUCAGCGUUACAAUGACAGUUUAUCCGAUGGUUGCUAGGGUAAGCAAGGAACCGAAGAUAAGUGGAUCAAUUUUUUAAUUGGGCCCUUUCAUGAACACGGCCCAUAAAUGAAAUAAAAAGACGCUUAAUUGGUAAAUAUGUUACGUGACCUCGUUUUCCCCUCUUUCCAUGAUGAUAUGGCAUUCUAAGGAGAGAACAAAGUCUACUUUAUUAUUAUAGAUAGAUAGAUAUGCAUAAACGCUUAGGUUGGAAGAAUAUUAAAUAAAAUUAUUAGUAAUUCAAAACAAUUAAACCAAAUCAAUUGAUUUAGAGAACUUAGUCGUUACGAAAACAUUAUCUAGUAAGGAUUUAAUGAAAUCAUCAUUAACUAUCAACACUGUGGGAACCGAAAUUCGCACUGUCGAUUUCCGUUGAUUUAGGAAAGAUAGGAAGCCCUAAGUUUCCCAGAGUUCACAGAUAUCUGCUAAACCACACGCCAAACAAUCAGAACACGUGAAACAGACUAAGUAUGAAAUUGAUAAAACAAAAAGAGAGCGAAGAAGAUCUUAUUCCGAAUUUGUGUAUAAGCGUUUACAACAGGUAAGGCUGCCGUAAGAGCUGUCGGCGAGAACCUAGUUCUAACCACCUAAGACCUGAAAACCUAGUUGAGUCGCAACACGAUAUCAAAAACGGAAAAUUGCCUAAAUUGCUCUAAGUGCUAAGUUUUGUUCUGAGUAGAAAAAUUGUAUCCCUCUGCAUCUUCGACCUCAACAUCCUUAUAUAUUCCUUUAGAGACGGUUUUCUCUUUCCAUUUCUGCCCUCGGUCGAGUUUAUCAUUUCGCGGAAAUAUUCCAUUUUUCUUUGAUUUUUGUAUUUAUCUUCGGAAACUUCACAUUUAUCUUCCGAACUUGACAUUUAUCUUCUCCUGCGUAACCAAAGAUAAACCGUCAUAACGAUUGGCUUGAUUUCGUAUAAAAUCGUAAGUGGGCUCUUAGCUGCGUUCUGGGCCCCUUCGGGCCGUUUUCCGACUUAGACGUUUUUAUGAUUUCAUAAAAAGAAGGCUUUCAAAGCGAUGUCGAUUCCGAAGAACAUUCAAAUUCCUCGUAUAGUGUAGGCAAUUCUAGGUGUUCAGCUAACAGUUGCCGCUUUAUAUGAUCAAUCUGAAUGUUAUUCGAGGAAACGAGUUCUUGCAGUUUUUAAAUCGUAAAGUUCCAACGGUGACUCCGAUCGAGAUGAAACAAGAGCAGAUUCGAUCUAAUCCCGAAGGGGAGAGCUACGAGGACAGGACGAAGGCAGGCAGGUUGAUCCAACUCGCCGAACGGGCGAAUUGGACUGCAUGUUCGGUCUAACUUGCCCGUUCGGCGAGUUGGACGGCGUGCUCGGCCUAACUCGCACGUUCGGCAGGUUGGACUGAUCCAACUCGCCGAACGGGUGAGUUGGUUGGUGUAUCCGGUUCAACUCGCCCCUUAGGCUAGUUGGUCGGUGUAUCCGGUCCAACUCGCCCCUUCGGCGAGUUGGACGAUGGGUGUUUCGCUGUUCGGGAUCCGUUGUUCGAGACUUUGUGUAACCUUUCUUGAAGACUUAUCGUGUGAAUCCUUUUCGGAAUUGUUACGAACUUGAUUUUAGGUUUUCACACGUCUCUAUUCUUCUUCUUCUUUUGAAAGAGGACAUUUCUUCUGAAGUUUUCGAACGUUGAUUUCAUCGUGACCGAUUUUGACCCCAACAAACACGGUUUAGUAGAACAUUUUUCGUAAAACAAAACAUUUUUUACGAAAUAAACUUCUGUAAAGCUAACUUCGACAAAGUUUUACUAAACAUCUGUUCGUGAAAAGAAACUUAACUAUUUUCCGAAACUAAAAUUUUCAAAACUAACAUUGAUAAUGUUUAAAGAACAUGUUUUGUACCAUAAAAGUUAACAGUAUCUACGAAACAAACUUCUGCCAAACUAACUUUGAUAAAGUUUUCAGACCAUAUUUCGUAAAGCAAAGCUGGACAGCUUUAGAUAAUCACUUUCCUAAAACAAAACUAUAUUUUCCAGACAACUUUUUGUAAAGUCAUAAAAAUGUUGAUGUUUUAAGAAAUAAACUUUGGAGAAUCGAAGAGAACUACACGAAAUGAUCAACGGAAAACGAAGGACAAAAAGAGACAACAAGAGGACCUUACUCACCCUUUCUCUCUCCUUACUCACCCUCUCUCUUCUUCCUCACCAUCUCUCUCCUUCCUCUCCAUUUCUCUCCUUCCUCUCCAUCUAUUUCCUUGCUCAUCCCUUUGUAUCCUCUUCCUUGCCCCUUGCUUAUCUCUCCGCGCCCACAUCUCUACAAGACCUCAUAUUCGCCCCUUUGAUGAUCCUUCCUCGUGACUAUCUCCUCGCCCUAUCUAGUCGCAGUUACUUCUUUGCUCUUAGAUCAUCACCCUCUCUGUAAUGACCCACCUCCACUAUCCCCACUAUCUCCACCAUCCCCACCACUCCCACCAUCUCCACCAUCCCCAACUUCUUUAAAGAGAAAGAGAGAGAGAGGGAGAGAGAGAGAGAGAGAAAGAGAGAGAGAGAGAGAGAGAAAGAGAGAGAGAAAGAGAGAGAAAGCUCACCUGAGCUCGUCGCCGGAGCAACCGUGUGCCGUGAUCACGUUCAGCUUGCCACCACCGAUAAACGCCCUAGGCCAUCAUCGUGUUCCUCUCGUCGAGGCUAAGCCGUAGACACCAACCACGCCUCAAACGGAGCCCGGACGAAGCCGCACGCGCCUCCCGAAGAUUCGCCUAGGCGCGCGCGUGAAACACACGCGCCACCGCCGUCCGCCGGAGCCACCGCGAGUUCCGGCCACGCGCCGCCGUCUCCGACCAACGUUCGCCGGAGCCGCCGUGACCGACCACCGUCCGUUCGCCGCCGGGAAGCUGCCGCCGCGUCGCCGCCUCGCCGCCGUCGCCGCCGUUGACUUUCCGGUAAGCCGCCGCGUCGCCGCCGGCGACCGACACGGUGACUCGCCGGUGACUCGCCAACUCGGCCGAGUCAACCCGGUGAGUCAACUCGGUGACUCGGUCAACCGGUGGUUUGACCGGUUUAAAUCGAUUUCGAUUCGGUUGGGUUAAACCGGUCGGUUAAAAUCAAUUGGAAAUCGGUUAAGGAAAACCGGAUUAAUUAAUUAAUUAAUUAAUUAAUUAAUUAAAUAAUUAAUCUUUGACCAGCGGGUUGACUUUCCCGUAAAUAUCCGUUUGAAAACCGUUCGAAAGGCGUUCUGACUCGAAAUUUCGAUCUGAUUUCGGAUUUGGAGUCCAUUUGAGCAGCUGGAGUUCAUAGAUACCACCUCUUAUUGUUGCUAAGGUGAG